rnacentral:misc_RNA from 1 species
CUCUACGUCACUGUAUCAAUGAUUUUCCUUUAGACAAGUUGUCAGAUUCAAAUGCAAACACUCGAUUAAUGGAAUUCUUAGCUGAUUGUGCUUUGCGUCUAACGAAAGAUGGUGACAAGAUCAAAUCCAAUGCUGUGAGAGCUCUUGGAAACCUUUCCAGGUUUAUCAGAUACACUGGUGGCAAACAUGGUAAGCCUACGGAUUCUCUGGACUUAUCAAACAACAUUAGGGUGUUGCCAGCAAGCAGUAAUCUGCAUUGUGGUCUAGGAUGCAAAUCAAAAUCUUCUUCAUCAGGAGAUCUACUUUUGCUGGAGAGAAUGGUUCAAGCAUUCCUUUCUUGUGUUAUGACUGGGAAUGUUAAGGUCCAAUGGAAUGUUUGUCAUGCACUGAGCAAUCUAUUUCUAAAUGAGACAUUAAGACUGCAAGAUAUGGAUUGGGCUCCAUCUGUUUUUAGUGUUCUUCUAUUACUGCUACGUGAUUCUUCAAACUUUAAGAUCAGGAUACAAGCUGCUGCUGCGUUGGCUGUGCCAGCUUCGGUGCAUGGCUAUGGUAUAUCCUUCUCAGAUGUUGUCCAAGGUCUGGAGCAUAUAAUUGAAAAUCUAGCUUCAGACCAAAUAUAUGCGCCAUCUAGUUUCAAAUACAG